rnacentral:rRNA from 1 species
GACGAACGCUGGCGGCGUGCUUAACACAUGCAAGUCGAACGGAAAGGCCCUUGCUUGCAGGGGUACUCGAGUGGCGAACGGGUGAGUAACACGUGGGUGAUCUGCCUUGUACUUCGGGAUAAGCCUGGGAAACUGGGUCUAAUACCGGAUAGGACCAUGCUUUAGUGUGGUGUGGUGGAAAGUUUUUUCGGUACAAGAUGAGCCCGCGGCCUAUCAGCUUGUUGGUGGGGUAAUGGCCUACCAAGGCGACGACGGGUAGCCGGCCUGAGAGGGUGUACGGCCACAUUGGGACUGAGACACGGCCCAG